UACAGAGGGUGCGAGCGUUGUCCGGAAUCACUGGGCGUAAAGCGCACGUAGGCGGUCUGUUAUGUCGGAUGUGAAAGCCCUUGGCUCAACUGAGGAAGUGCAUCCGAAACUGGCAGGCUAGAGUACUAAAGAGGAUCGCGGAAUUCCCGGUGUAGAAGGUGAAAUUCGUAGAUAUCGGGAGGAAGGCCGGUGGCGAAAGCGGUGUGCUGGAUCCUUCUGACGCUGAGGCGCGAAAGCCAGGGGAGCAAAGCGG
rnacentral:rRNA from 1 species